UAUAUACUCCCUCCGUCCGAAAAUACUUGUCAUCAAAAUGGAUAAAAAGAGAUGUAUCUAGAACUAAAAUACAUCUAGAUACAUCCUCUUUUAUCCAUUUUGAUGACAAGUAUUUCCGGACGGAGGGAGUACAUA
rnacentral:pre_miRNA from 1 species